GUAUUGGUGGUUCAGUGGCUGAAUUCUCGUCUUCCAUGCAGGAGACUUAGGUUCAAUUCCUGGCCAAUCCA
rnacentral:tRNA from 1 species